rnacentral:lncRNA from 1 species
CUCCCCCCUACUCCUUCUGUGUGAAUGGGGUGGGCCCCUCUCCCCUCGUCUUCAGUGUGGAUGGGGUAUCCCCCUUCUCCUUUGGCAUGCUGGCUGAAGGCGUCUCCGCUGUGGGCUGCCUCUCACUGUACUGUUUGCUCCAGAACCAGGGUAUUAUGAGGACGGGGCCUUCGGGAUCCGCAUCGAGAACGUUGUUCUGGUGGUUCCUGUGAAGACCAAGUAUAAUUUCAAUAACCGAGGAAGCCUGACCUUUGAACCUCUAACUUUGGUUCCCAUCCAGACCAAAAUGAUAGAUGUGGAUUCUCUUACAGAUAAAGAGGGACCCGUGCCUCUUGUAGCAUCCACUGGCUACACUUCCAGGGCCUUAUCAAGGGACCCUUGAAAGCCCACGGCUGUAGUUUAUGACCAGGUAAGUAGGUUGCACCGUUGUCCUGACCAUGUGUGAAUUGGGAGGUAUUUGUCCCAGGGCAUGCUCCAUUUACUCAGGGAAGUAGUGCAUGAGGAAAAGUUAAGCAAGGCUGUUUUUUCCUGAAAGAUUUUUACUGACUCACAACCCACUUAGUGACACUGGACGCAGACCACUGGGAUAUGCCAUGUUCAG